UACGGGGGGAGCAAGCGUUGUUCGGAUUUACUGGGCGUAAAGGGCGCGUAGGCGGCGCAACAAGUCACUUGUGAAAUCUCCGGGCUUAACUCGGAGCGGCCAAGUGAUACUGUCGUGCUAGAGUGCGGAAGGGGCUACUGGAAUUCUCGGUGUAGCGGUGAAAUGCGUAGAUAUCGAGAGGAACACCUGCGGCGAAGGCGGGUAGCUGGGCCGACACUGACGCUGAGGCGCGAAAGCGUGGGGAGCAAACAGG
rnacentral:rRNA from 1 species